UUUCAUUACAUAUCGUGCCCGUCUUUAACACCGCAUUUAUUAAAUCAGGACACUCAUUCAAUCUGAAAUAACUUCGGAGCAGUGUUAGAGCUAUAGACUAUAGCACAGAUACACGGGAAUUGCAAGUCCUAUUCUGAAAUGAUGUUGAAGAUGAUGUGGCAGGUCCACGGAUGACAUCCUUCCACGUCCCUCAGUUUGUGGUGGUUGAGCAGCGCUGGCUGUUCCAGCCUGUAGAGCGGCUCUUACAGCAGCAGCAGCUGCGCGCUCGAUGAUUGCAGGUGAGAUACUGGAAUCCGCCAGGAUGUCUUUCUGAACGAGAACCUGACCGAGUCCGUGGAGAUUCCGAAGAGUGAUGACGUCACGAAGCUAUACGUUAAUGAUCGCGUUGCUAUAGGUUUUGUGAAUGGAGGCUGUUCUGCUAGGAGAAACCCAGCUAACUGAGGAACGAGUGAUUCAGUAGAGAGAGGCAUGGACCCGACUCCAAGGAGAAGAACAAGGAGUAAAGAGAAUGACCCGCCUGAUAUGUCACAAGAGCCUGCAAGACAGACAGAGCAAUCUAUACGCUGUGUUGGGGUCCAGUGUGAGCUGACAGGAAUCUGAUUGAAGAGAAGAGGACGGGUAGAGGAGAGACGGUUAGAAAAGUCAAAUCACUGAGAAAAUCAACAAGCAUUGUCUGCUGCAUCCUCACAUCCUGUUUAUGGAAGGUAUGUGUGUUGUUUUAAUUAUUUUUCUUUAAUACAUUUUGACCACUUUUUUAAACUUUUAAAUUGCAUUCCCUGCCUCAAGAUGGCUUCCCACGUACUGGCAUGGACCUCUCAGAACUACAUUUCCCAUCAUCCUCCUGCUCACUGGUAAUUCCAUCUCAAUUACAUAUGUGAGUAGGAGGAUG